AAGAGAAAAAAAGAAAAGAAAGAGUGAAGACAGGGGUUGGUGGGUGUCCUUGAGCCCUCAGGAAUGAGAUGGCGGCUCUCUGGAAGCUGAGUGCCCUUUGCAGUGCCCAAGGAAGCCAAGCUCUGUUGCUGCAAACCCCAGUGUUCAGACCCGCUCAUAUCUCAGCAUUUCUUCAGGACCGACCUACCCCAGACUGGUGUGGAGUGCAGCACAUUCACUUAUCACUGAGCCACCAUUCUGGUUCCAAGACUGCAUCUCUCCACUGGACUAGUGAGAGGGUUGUCAGUGUUUUGCUCCUGAGUCGGCUUCUGGCUGCUUAUUUGAAUCCUUGCUCUGCGAUGGACUGGACUACUCCCUGGCUGCAACCCUCACUCUUCACGGUCGCUGGGGCUUUGAACAAGUUGUUACUAUGUUCAUGGGGACGUCUCGCAGAAAGCUGCCAGGCAGAGCUUUUGGCAAUUUCAGUUUUAAAUUUUGCUGGGCUUUGCUAUUUCAACCAUCACGAUGUGGACAUCUGCAAAACUGUUGCCAUGCUGUGGAAGCUCUGACCUUUCUGACUUAAUACUUUGAAGAAUUGAUGUAUGCUUCUUUUCCUCUGUGUUGUCAUGCCCUUCAACUCACAAUCAGGAAGAAAUAACAGAUGAGUCCAUUGGUGGACAGCCUUCUUCUCUGAAUCACAAGAUUAUUUUCAGAAUUUAAUCUUUAAGGAAAAGGUUUGAGAGGAAUUUUGUCUAAGAAGUUGUGAGACUGAGUUCUGUAUUCUGGUGAGUUAAUGGGGUUGACUCCCAGCUUCUCAAAAGACUCAUAGUAUAACAAAACAUGAUAUAUGAGCCUUUAAAUUUAUCAAUCUCUUAAAGAGAAUCCAGCUUUAUUACUAUUAAUAUAUGAUCAAACUUCUUUAUUUGCCCUGGGAGUAGUGGACAAAGGGAAAUACUGUUAAUUCAUGAAUAAAAACUUUGCAGAAACUUAGAUAGUGUUUAAUUUUUUUAAACUUCCUUCUCUAUUCAGUAGAUACCACCUACUGAUGGUUGCAUAUACUAGGGAAAUUUUAAAAUUAGGAAAUGCUGACAUCUCACAUUAUCAAUUUCUAAAUCUUAGGAAAAAUAGCUUGGAGUGCUUCUGAAUAUAGAGAGGUUCCAUUUAAGGGCAAGGUUCACCUUGUAGAUGUAUCAAACUAUUACAAAGUAUAAACUGAGACAAUCCUCAAAUUUGUUCUACUUGUUCUAAAACAAU